AACUACGCUACUCUAAAAGGACCAGUGUAUCUAAGUAAACAAUAUCACCACCAUGACAACCACCACCACGCAGUGUGUGUGUAUGUUUCUCUUGCACACUCUCCUUCCUAGGGCUUGAAACAGCCUCAUCAGUAUGAUGAUUUUCAUCUUGACUAUGAUAUGUCUCUAAGAUAUGACAAAUAAACACAACAUUCCACAAUUAGAUUUUUGUUUUCUUACAGAUGUCUGAAAUCAUCAAGGUACUCAAAUAGCACCACUAGUUCUGAGCUCCUAAAUUAUUUCUGACAUAAAAAGUAUACAAGAGUAAAUAGUAAGAUUUAUCUCAAAAUGCAUAAACAUGCACAGGAAUGACAGAAGAUUGAAAUAGAGAGAAACAACAACAGGAUUGGGUCUUCUGCUAAGAUUGAUGAAUUAUUCCACCAAAGCCUUAUUGAUCUACUCCUAUUAAGUAGGCAGAUCUGAAUUACUGCUGAGAAAGCACUGUGGCUCAUCAAUAUCAAAAUGACAAUUCAGCCUCAGAAACACUUAAAAAGAACAGAAAAAUAUUUAAUAUUUGCAUGAAUCCUGUAGUAAAUGCAUCAUCUGUUGACUAAAAUUUGAUUCUUUUUUGCUUCGGGGUAAAAGAUUGCAUCAGGCAAAUUGAUUAUAAAAAUCCUUUUUUUAGAGGACAAGAAAGGGGAAAAAAGGAAUACCUUUUAACUUACUGGAAUCAGAUACAAACCAAGAGUGUAUGAACAAUUAUUCAGGCUAAACCCAUGUCUUGAAAGGAUUGAAGAAUCCUUUUUUUAAUUUCUGCCCAAAAUGUGGCUAGAUGACAAAACAGGAGACAGAAUGCAACUUGCAGACUUCAUGCUCUGACCCUGAAGGGGCUCCUCUUGCUGUGGAUAAUCAUUCCCAGUGCGUAGAACCAGGUAUCCUGUCUACAUGAAGAACUAUGUUGAGCUUUCCCAUAAGUGUUGCCAGCCUCGGACAACUAAAUUAUGGGAAUUACAGUGCCUGAAUGAAUAUGGAAUUCAUUUCACAGAAGAGGAAUUGGAGGCCCAAAGAGGUGAUGUGUUUUGCCCAAUUUUACUCAGCUAAUAGGCACAAAGACAGAAUGACAUUCCAGAAUCUCUGCCUCAAAGUUCGACCCCUUUAGAAAUCUAUAACACUGUAUUUGUUUCCAAAAAGAACACAUGGCAUUCAGAAAGAUAGGGGCCAAUACAAUUCUCUGCUGAGCAAUAUUUUGAGCCUGA
rnacentral:lncRNA from 1 species